UUGAGCUUGAUCCUGGCUCAGGACGAACGCUGGCGGCGUGCCUAAUACAUGCAAGUCGAGCGGACUGAUGGGAGCUUGCUCCCUGAUGUUAGCGGCGGACGGGUGAGUAACACGUGGGCAACCUGCCUGUAAGACUGGGAUAACUCCGGGAAACCGGGGCUAAUACCGGAUAACCCGUUCCACCUCAUGGUGGAGCGGUAAAAGAUGGCCUCUGGCUAUCACUUACAGAUGGGCCCGCGGCGCAUUAGCUAGUUGGUAAGGUAACGGCUUACCAAGGCGACGAUGCGUAGCCGACCUGAGAGGGUGAUCGGCCACACUGGGACUGAGACACGGCCCAGACUCCUACGGGAGGCAGCAGUAGGGAAUCUUCCGCAAUGGACGAAAGUCUGACGGAGCAACGCCGCGUGAGUGAUGAAGGUUUUCGGAUCGUAAAGCUCUGUUGUUAGGGAAGAACAAGUGCCGUUUGAAUAAGGCGGCACCUUGACGGUACCUAACCAAAGCCCG
rnacentral:rRNA from 1 species